UAUCCCGGCAGUGAGUCGGCGGGGGAUAAGCUCCGUCGUCGAAAGGGAAACAGCCCAGAUCGUCGUCUAAGGUCCCCAAGCGUGUGCUAAGUGGGAAAGGAUGUGGAGUCGCAUAGACAGCCAGGAGGUUGGCUCAGAAGCAGCCACCCUUGAAAGAGUGCGUAACAGCUCACUGGUCUAGUGGUUCCGCGCCGACAAUGUAGCGGGGCUCAAGCACACCACCGAAGACGCGGCAGUAGUUUUGCUACUGGGUAGGAGAGCGUCCCAUGCGGGGCGAAGCGGCGGCGCAAGCCCGCCGUGGACCGCAUGGGAGUGAGAAUGCAGACAUGAGUAGCGAAAGACGGGUGAAGAUCCCGUCCGCUGGACGACCAAGGGUUCCAGGGCCACGUUCAUCGUCCCUGGGUGAGUCGGGUCCUAAGGCGAGGCCGACAGGCGUAGUCGAAUGGAUGAACGGGUCGAUAUUCCCGUACCGGCAUGCAACCGGCAAAACCGAAUCCGCGAGUACUAACCUCCGGGUCCGGGCUUACGUCUCCUUCGGGAGCCGGAUGCCCUGGCCUGUUGGGACCGUAACGGUAGUAGGUCAGCGCGGGAGUGACGCAGAAGGGUAGCCGGCCGCGGAGGUGGUCUUCCGUGGUCAAGCACGCAGCCCGUCCCACAGGCAAAUCCGUGGGGCGCGUGGGCGAGGUGCGAUGAUGGGCGCCGUUGGGCGCGAUAUCCGGUGAUCCCGGCUGCCGAGAAAAGCUUCGGCGUGAGGCGGCGUGCCGCCCGUACCCCAAACCGACACUGGUGGUCAGGUAGAGAAUACCAAAGCGAUCGAGCGAAUCCUGGUCAAGGAACUCGGCAAAUCACUCCCGUUCCUUCGGUUUAAGGGAGACCCCCGAUGGUGAACACACUUGCUGUGGGAGCUUUUGGGGGUGGCACAGACCAGGGGGUAGCGACUGUUUACCAAAAACACAGGAGCGUGCGAAGGCGCAAGCCGCUGUAUACGCUCUGACGCCUGCCCGGUGCCGGAAGGUUAAGAGGAUCCGUCAGGCUUCGGCCGAAGCGGUGAAUUCAAGCCCCGGUAAACGGCGGUGGUAACUAUAACCAUCCUAAGGUAGCGAAAUUCCUUGUCGGGUAAGUUCCGACCUGCACGAAUGGCGUAACGACUUCCCCACUGUCUCGACCAGGAGCUCGGCGAAAUUGCAGUACGAGUAAAGAUGCUCGUUAAGCGCAGAAGGACGAAAAGACCCCGGGACCUUUACUAUACCUUGGUAUUGGCAUUCGGUGUGGAUUGUGUAGCAUAGGCGGAAGGCUUCGAAGCCACGGCGCCAGCCGCGGUGGAGCCGCAAGGUGAAAUACCGCUCUGUUCGCAUUGGAUGUCUAACCUCGACCAGUCAUCCUGGUCAGGGACAGUGCCUGGCGGGUAGUUUAACUGGGGCGGUUGCCUCCCAAAGAGUAACGGAGGCGCUCAAAGGUUCCCUCAGCCCGGUUGGCAAUCGGGUGGCGAGUGUAAGUGCACAAGGGAGCUUGACUGCGAGACUGACGGGUCGAGCAGGGACGAAAGUCGGAACUAGUGAUCCGGUGCCGGUGUACGGACGCGGCAUCGCUCAACGGAUAAAAGGUACCCCGGGGAUAACAGGCUGAUCAUUCCCAAGAGUCCAUAUCGACGGGAUGGUUUGGCACCUCGAUGUCGGCUCGUCGCAUCCUGGGGCUGGAGCAGGUCCCAAGGGUUCGGCUGUUCGCCGAUUAAAGCGGCACGCGAGCUGGGUUCAGAACGUCGUGAGACAGUUUGGUCUCUAUCCUCUGCGCUCGUCGGAAUGUUGAGGAGGCCUGCCCAUAGUACGAGAGGACCUGGGUGGACGAACCUCUGGUAUGCCGGUUGUCACGCCAGUGGCACGGCCGGUUGGCUACGUUCGGAAGGGAUAACCGCUGAAAGCAUCUAAGCGGGAAGCCUGCUCCAAGAUAAGCAUUCCAUAGGACUACGGGUCCUUGAAGUCCCCAUGCAGAACACGUGGUUGAUAGGCCGGACGUGGAAGCCCCGCGAGGGGUGGAGCCGACCGGUACUAACGGACGAAAGGCAACACAAC
rnacentral:rRNA from 1 species